CGUUACCGCGGCCGCCAUUUUCAUAUUGCGGAAGUUUUUCGAAUAAUAGACAGGUACGUAGGUAGGUUAUACAUCCAGGGCCACGGUUACGUCCAUAGAUCGACCGUUGUUUUCGAUCAUGGUUUAUAGUUUUUUCUAUAAGCUCUUACUACAGACACAGAAUGGAUGUCAUCUAUUCCAUGCUACAGGUACCAUGUAAGCACCUAUGCAUAUAUGUAUAGCUAAAAAAUCUAUGGUGAUCAAACUGUCACGCACGAUAUUCCUCGAUUAGGCUAUUUUCUUGUCGGCCAUUCACCGAACGUCAUUGCACCAAACAAAGUCCGCGAAAAAUUAUCGGACAUCGCGUCACUUCCGUGGGUCCGGUGGUCGGUUUACGUCAGUAAUCGGGUGCACUUCCACGCUCGGUAGAAAUGCCACUGCCGCGGUGAUUUAGUAUAGGUAUCUAUUAGGCACACGUUUUUAAUUUUUUUUUUUUUCUGGCCGAUUUCGUGAACUUUGUAAAUAGCCGUAUGCAUCAUGUAUGUAAAUACUAUAUUAUUGUUAAACGCAUCGCUGUAAAACAAACAGACUCCGAAUUCGAUAAAUAAAUAUCAAACCUUAAUACGCGACAUUCGUGUCGUAGGUACCUCUAUAUAUAUACGUGACCUA